rnacentral:rRNA from 1 species
AACGCUAGCUACAGGCUUAACACAUGCAAGUCGCGGGGCAGCAUGAAUUUAGCUUGCUAAAUUUGAUGGCGACCGGCGCACGGGUGAGUAACGCGUAUCCAACCUUCCCUUAUCCACGGGAUAGCCCGUCGAAAGGCGGAUUAAUACCGUAUGAGGUCAUUUGAUGGCAUCUGAUUAUGACGAAAGGUUUGGCGGAUAAGGAUGGGGAUGCGUCCGAUUAGCUUGUUGGCGGGGUAACGGCCCACCAAGGCGACGAUCGGUAGGGGUUCUGAGAGGAAGGUCCCCCACAUUGGAACUGAGACACGGUCCAAACUCCUACGGGAGGCAGCAGUGAGGAAUAUUGGUCAAUGGGCGAGAGCCUGAACCAGCCAAGUAGCGUGCAGGAUGACGGCCCUAUGGGUUGUAAACUGCUUUUAUGCGGGGAUAAAGUGGGGGACGCGUCCCUUUUUGCAGGUACCGCAUGAAUAAGGACCGGCUAAUUCCGUGCCAGCAGCCGCGGUAAUACGGAAGGUCCGGGCGUUAUCCGGAUUUAUUGGGUUUAAAGGGAGCGUAGGCUGGAGAUUAAGCGUGUUGUGAAAUGCCGCGGCUCAACCGUGGCACUGCAGCGCGAACUGGUUUCCUUGAGUGCGCUGAAAGUGGGCGGAAUUUGUGGUGUAGCGGUGAAAUGCUUAGAUAUCACGAAGAACUCCGAUUG